CCCUUAAUGAGUUUACAACUGUCCAGCCACAAUUAAGAUUUUUCCACAAAAGCUUUUUUUCAUUUAUUUUGUCUGGUCUCAGAAGAUAAGGGGGGUGUGAGGAAACAGCCCCCUUUUAUGGGGACUGGUUGCUGCCCCUUGGGCGGCUUGGGCUCCAGUUUGGACAUUUAUCUUUCAUGUUUUCUAAGCAACAGGGUAAGAGGAUGGGCAGUUGUUUCCCCCCUUCUCCUUUCUAUAAUUGGGACCCUGCAGCGGGCUGGAAGUGGGACUGGCGUCCCUGGCCCCAAGGCCAGCUUGUUAAAGGGGGCCAGCUGCUGGGGCCCUAGUCCUAGGCAUUCCAGAGAGCUGCAGUGGCGGCAAGUGACCAGCAGAUGGCAGUGUGAUUCCACGGAAGCAACCCGCUGCCGCCAUGAAGCCUUCAGCCUGGACUCUGGGCAACUUCUAAAAUGUCGACUUUAUGGGAGUAUUUCUGGAUUUGAAGCCACUGAUUUGAGUUUAACAACGUAAGAAAAAAGGAGAGAGGAUCACCAGGAUUCUGUAGGGUUUUGUUUUCCUGAUUCGGAGCGGGAGAGGGGAGAGAAUUAACCACCAAUAUUGAAAGUGCGAGCGGGGUUCAAGUCCCAGGAAAGGAGAGAAAAGGAAGGAAUCCAACAAUACCUCUGUUCCAUACGCACAAGCACACAGCACCACUUCUAUCAUUCCACGAGGAGAGGGAGGAAGCCGGGAGCUGGGUUUGUUUCCAAAUGGAAAAAGCAAAAGAAAACUGAGAAAACCACUAACCCACCCGGGAGCUCUGGGAAUCCGGCACACGUUGUAUUUAUUUGGGUUAUUAUAGUCUCCGCCAAGCCCACAAAAUGUUUAUGACCCAGAUCUCCGCGACAAACGCGUUGUAAAAUUGAGGACGGGAUUUUGGCUGCCCGUCGCCCUCUUCCUUUCUUUUAUUCUGUGUUUGGGGGUUCAUAUCUAUAUCCAUGUUUGUCUCUGGGUGGGCGCAUUUAGUCAAGAUGGUGAAAUGACUUCAUAAACUGGCAUUCGGACCUGGACAGAUUUGCGUUUGUGUGUCUAUAUUCUGAUUCCAUGGAGAACGGUUUCUCUCUAGAUAUUGGAUGUGUAACUAUGUAUGUUUACAUGUAUACACACAUGUGUGCGUCUAGAAUAUUAGCUGUGUGUGUGCAUAAUGCACAGAGAGAUAUUUCUCUAUUUUUCCAGAUAUACACCCAUAUACGUCAGCCCAAAGGCUGGUUAGUUUGUUCAGGUUGUCCAAGCCGGGAAUUUGACUAGCCAGAGGCAGGGCAGAACCCACUGAAGGUGUUCGGCCUGUCUUACCCAGGGCUGUGUCAGCAGAGAUUUCGAGCCCCCAGUGCACCCGCCACAAAUGCUCCGGACUGGCGGGGCGGCCUCGGAGAUCCCGGGCUGCGUGGGAGCCCCUGAACUCGCAGAGAGGCUCGGGAGAGUGGUUAGUGGCCAUCGCUCCCUUUUAGCUCCGUUCGCCACCCCGGCAGGGCCA
rnacentral:lncRNA from 1 species